rnacentral:lncRNA from 1 species
UUAAGGAGCAACGGAAGAUAUUGUGGCCAACUUCCUUGCACCAACUGCAGAAUUGAUGGCCGACUUUGGAGCGGUAAUCAGUCCGCAUCGGCAAAAUUGCCCAAACAUAAAACUCACCAUUGUCACCUUAUCGUUAUUACUUAUCCAUCUCACAAAGUAAUUAAAAAAUUAUGGAAAUUAAUAUUCUAUAAUUUGUAAAGCAUUGAGCUUG